rnacentral:rRNA from 1 species
AUUGAACGCUGGCGGCAGGCCUAACACAUGCAAGUCGAGCGGAUGAAGGGAGCUUGCUCCUGGAUUCAGCGGCGGACGGGUGAGUAAUGCCUAGGAAUCUGCCUGGUAGUGGGGGAUAACGUCCGGAAACGGGCGCUAAUACCGCAUACGUCCUGAGGGAGAAAGUGGGGGAUCUUCGGACCUCACGCUAUCAGACGAGCCUAGGUCGGAUUAGCUAGUUGGUGGGGUAAAGGCCUACCAAGGCGACGAUCCGUAACUGGUCUGAGAGGAUGAUCAGUCACACUGGAACUGAGACACGGUCCAGACUCCUACGGGAGGCAGCAGUGGGGAAUAUUGGACAAUGGGCGAAAGCCUGAUCCAGCCAUGCCGCGUGUGUGAGGAAGGUCUUCGGAUUGUAAAGCACUUUAAGUUGGGAGGAAGGGCAGUAAGUUAAUACCUUGCUGUUUUGACGUUACCAACAGAAUAAGCACCGGCUAACUUCGUG